rnacentral:rRNA from 1 species
GAUGAACGCUGGCGGCGUGCCUAAUACAUGCAAGUCGAGCGAACAGACGAGGAUCUUGCUCCUCUGACGUUAGCGGCGGACAGGUGAGUAACACGUGGAUAACCUACCUAGAAGACUGGGAUAACUUCGGGAAACCGGAGCGAAUACCGGAUAAUAUAUUGAACCGCAUGGUUCAAUAGUGAAAGACUGGUUUGCUGUCACUUAUAGAUGUAUCCGCGCCGCAGUAGCUAGUUGGUAAGGUAACGGCUUACCAAGGCAACGGUGCGUAGCCGACCUGAGAGAGUGAUCGGCCACACUGGAACUGAGACACGGUCCAGACUCCUACGGGAGGCAGCCGUAGGGAACCUUCCGCAAUGGGCGAAAGCCUGACGGAGCAACGCCGCGUGAAUGAUGAAGGUAUUCCGAUCGUAAAACUCUGUUCUUAGGGAAGAACAACUGUGUAAGUAACUAUGCACGUCUUGACGGUACCUAAUCAGAAAGCAACGGCUAACUACGUG